rnacentral:rRNA from 1 species
CCUACGGGUGGCUGCAGUGGGGAAUAUUGGACAAUGGGCGAAAGCCUGAUCCAGCCAUGCCGCGUGUGUGAAGAAGGCCUUCGGGUUGUAAAGCACUUUCAGUGGGGAAGAAAGCCUUGGGGCUAAUACCCUCGAGGAAGGACAUCACCCACAGAAGAAGCACCGGCUAACUCCGUGCCAGCAGCCGCGGUAAUACGGAGGGUGCGAGCGUUAAUCGGAAUUACUGGGCGUAAAGCGCGCGUAGGCGGUCUGAUAAGCCGGUUGUGAAAGCCCCGGGCUCAACCUGGGAACGGCAUCCGGAACUGUCAGGCUAGAGUGCAGGAGAGGAAGGUAGAAUUCCAGGUGUAGCGGUGAAAUGCGUAGAGAUCGGGAGGAAUACCAGUGGCGAAGGCGGCCUUCUGGACUGAAACUGACGCUGAGGUGCGAAAGCGUGGGUAGCAAACAGGAUUAGAUACCCGAGUAGUC